rnacentral:tRNA from 1 species
UAAAGUCAGCUAAUAAAGCUAUUGGGCCCAUACCCCAAAAAUGUUGGUUAUAACCCUUCCUAUACUA